UUUCCGUAGGUGAACCUGCGGAAGGAUCAUUACCGAAGGUCCGGGAAGUGGACCAUAAACAAGCCGUGCGGAUUUAGUCUGCUCAUCUACUUUGUCGUAGGUGUUCUAGCCAUCUCUUUCUCUCUUGUCGCACAGGGAUCCCGCCGCCAACCCUUUUACCGGCGUCGGGCUCCUCGAUGGAUACUUUCGCCGCCGUGUUCUUUCUACCAACCGGUAGUCGGCUCGGAGGCGAAUGUAUUCAAGACACAGAACCCCGCGAAACCACAAUCGUUAUGCGAUGUCGGGCGAGAGGCGUCUCGCCGAGCUCUUCGUGAGCUCGAAACAAAGCGCUACCCACAAACCACACCAAACUCUGAAUCUGAACUCAAAAGGAGGCGCCGCCACCGCGCGGAGCCUCCUCAACCUUUAACGUUGUAAAACUUUCAGCGACGGAUGUCUUGGCUCCCACAACGAUGAAGAACGCAGCGAAAUGCGAUACGUCUUGCGACUUGCAGAAUCCAGUGAAUCAUCAAAACUUUGAACGCAUCUUGCGCUUCCGGGAUAUGCCUGGGAGCAUGCUUGUCGGAGUGUCUGUUGACACAUCUCGCCCCCCCCGCUUCUCUUCUUUCCUCGCGGAAGGAAAAGAGGCGAGAGGGCGGACUCUGCGUGUUCCGGAGCGCGAGCUCCGAGUGCACCGAACCUCGUGAACGCGAGACCUCUACUGCUGAUUGCACAGAGUUGUUGACGGCGUGCCUGCUUCGGCGGCGCGACUCUCUACUCGCCACGUGCUUUUGGUCUAGGAUUGGUCGUAGUUCCGGCAGCUGUGCCUCCCUUCCGGGGAAAGCACACUACCCCAACUUUCGUUCGGACCUCCGAUCAAGCAAGAGGACCCGCUGAAUUUAAG
rnacentral:rRNA from 1 species